UAAAGGUUUGGACCUAGCCUUACUGUUAAUUAUAAUUAAACCUACACAUGCAAGUUUCCGCUGCCCAGUGAGAAUGCCCUCAAAAUUAUUCAAAAUCAUAGGAGCAGGCAUCAGGCACACCAUAGGUAGCCCAUCACGCCUUGCUUAGCCACACCCCCACGGGAUACAGCAGUGACUAACAUUAAGCCAUAAACGAAAGUUUGACUAAAUCAUAAUUAUUAGGGUUGGUAAAUUUCGUGCCAGCCACCGCGGCCAUACGAUUAACCCAAAUUAACAGAAAACCGGCGUAAAGUGUGUUUAAGCAUUAACAACCAAUAAAGCUAAGAUUCAACUAAACUGUAAUACGCUAUAGUUGACAUCAAAAUACACAACGAAAGUGGCUUUACCUAUGCUGAAGACACUAUAGCUAAGAAACAAACUGGGAUUAGAGACCCCACUAUGCUUAGCCCUAAACCAAGAUAAUUCACUAACAAUAUUAUUCGCCAGAGAACUACUAGCCAUCGCUUAAAACUCAAAGGACUUGGCGGUGCCCUAAGCCCACCUAGAGGAGCCUGUUCUAUAAUCGAUAAACCCCGAUACACCUCACCUAUUCUUGCCAAUACAGCCUAUAUACCGCCAUCGUCAGCCCACCCCAAUAGGGUAAUAAAGUGAGCAAAACCAUUUACCAUAAAAACGUUAGGUCAAGGUGUAGCAUAUGAAAAGGGAAGCAAUGGGCUACAUUUUCUAUACUAGAACAUCACGAACUAUCUUAUGAAACCUAAGAUACUGAAGGAGGAUUUAGUAGUAAAUUAAGAAUAGAGAGCUUAAUUGAAACAGGCAAUAGGACGCGCACACACCGCCCGUCACCCUCCUCAAUUAAACCUAAAAUAUAAAUAAUAAAACUCAAACAAAAAGAGGAGAAAAGUCGUAACAUGGUAAGUGUACUGGAAGGUGCACUUGGAAUAUC
rnacentral:ncRNA from 1 species